GCGUUCCAAAAAUAUUGAUUUUGUGAAUGGCGAGUAUGAACAUUCCGGCAGGCGGGGCGCGGGAAGGAUAGAGACUGCCAUAUGGGGAUCCCAUUUUUUAACAUUUCUUUAUCCCUGAUCCCGUAAGAAUUAACUUUAUAGUAAAAUAAGUAUAUACGAUGGUCAUUCGUCGCACUGACGGAAGUAAAUACUUGUGUCAUGCUAAACUGACAUAGUUCUACCACUGAAAUGCCGGUUACUUCACACUAGCCAGCCCCAUACAAUGUCGUGCGAGUGCACCCUAUAGAGAACGUGUUGAUGAUGGCAAUAUUUCUCGCAAAGCCCAUUAUGCGGCGCUUGCGAAUUCAUUUCCAGACACGGAUUUGUAUAUCUGAUUUACAAAAAAUGAUGGAAUAAUUUUGUUUUGAUUGAAUGAGUGAUAUAGGUGUAUCUCCGUGUUCUACAGGGAAUAUUCCAUGCAACGUCGUUCCCAUCCGAGUUUCAUUUUCCAAGGGCGCAGCACAGGUAGCUCCCUUCCCUGGCCAUUUUUCACAGCCACAACAGUCAAGCAUGACCCUCUCUCGCCUGCGCUGCUUUUGCUGCAUUAUCGAACAGCAUUUCUCCCUCGCUCCACAGCACAUCCCUUCUCGGCUCGACUAAUAACACGUGUUCCAAAGCUAGCGCCCAGCAGUCCUCCCGCUCAACCGGUUCCUUGUCCUCUUUCGCCAGGACACACGCCCCUACCCGGCCCCUCCCGCCCAGCCUCCCGGACGGCUCUCGAUGGCGUCCCCUGCAUGGCCACCGACGGGCCGCGCUGCCUUCGCCUGCAUGUCGGUCUCAUGAGGUCUCAGCUGAGCACGUGGCAGGCUCUCGGGAUCCGAAGGAAGAUCUGAACCCCGGGCGACAUAGGCUCCGUCUCAACCGGACACGCUAAUGACUCUGAGGUUCCGGCCGAAUGUUCUCGAAGGAUGCGUCGACCGGCGUUGAUUCCGGUUUUGUCACUCUCCGGGGCUGUCGCUGUCGCCAUGCCAGACAGGUCAUGAUGGCGAAGUUCAAACUUGCAAGUUCGGCGCUUAUCUCAUUUUUUAUGAAGUCAGCGAAGUGGCCGCACAAGCAGAAAUCCCAAGGCAUCAUCACCAUCCAAAAAUAGAGGCCACAGAAGUUUGUUGAUUUCCUCCGCUGAACAUCAACAGAAAUCUGAUUCGUCACCGGACAGUGUUAUCAGGAGCUUUAUUUGACCAACGAAAGGGCUUCGUAUUCCUUCGCUCCUCGGGGGGAUGAGUCAGCCGCUUUUCUCGUUUCCACGGAAGAUUCCGUCUGUUCACGUGACCAUGCCAUGUUGGUAACAAUGCUGCUAUCUUAUCCCCCUAUGUGGCAGUAAACAUUUGUGCAUCGUCAGGUGGAGUCACGCCAUUGCCAGCCCUUUUCGCCCCACCCCUCCC